AGAUUGAACGCUGGCGGCGUGCCUAACACAUGCAAGUCGAGCGGUAACAGGUGUAGCAAUACAUGCUGACGAGCGGCGAACGGGUGAGUAAUGCUUUGGAAUCUUCCCAGUAGUGGGGAAUAACCAGUCGAAAGAUUGGCUAAUACCGCAUACGUCUGUAAAGGGAAAGCGGGGGCUCGUAAGACCUCGCGCUAUUGGAUGAGCCAAAGUCGGAUUAGCUAGUUGGUGGGGUAAUGGCCUACCAAGGCGACAAUCCGUAGCUGGUCUGAGAGGACGACCAGCCACACCGGAACUGAGACACGGUCCGGACUCCUACGGGAGGCAGCAGUGGGGAAUAUUGGACAAUGGGGGAAACCCUGAUCCAGCGACGCCGCGUGUGUGAAGAAGGCCUGCGGGUUGUAAAGCACUUUUAGUGGGGACAAAAAGCUACGGAUUAAUACUCUGUGGUCUUGAUUUAACCCAAAGAAAAGCACCGGCUAACUCUGUGCCAGCAGCCGCGGUAA
rnacentral:rRNA from 1 species